rnacentral:rRNA from 1 species
CACGCCGUAAACUAUGCGCGUUAGGUGUACUGGUGACCACGAGUCACCGGGGUGCCGAAGGGAAACCGUGAAACGUGCCGCCUGGGAAGUACGGUCGCAAGGCUGAAACUUAAAGGAAUUGGCGGGGGAGGCACCACAACGGGUGGAGCCUGCGGUUUAAUUGGACUCAACGCCGGAAAUCUCACCGGAUAGGACAGACAUAUGAUAGUCGGGCUGAAGACUCUACUUGAUGAUCUGAGAGGAGGUGCAUGGCGUCAGUGACU